AUGUAAAUAAAAGUAUAGUUUGAUUCAAGUCUUAGAUUUUUUAUUAAAAAAAAAAUGUAUCAACUAUUAACUUAAGUAAUAAUUGAUAAUAAAUUAAUUGCUUGUGAGAAAGAUAAAAGAAAUUGUAAUAAUUCUCUCUCUCUCUCUCUCUCUCUAUAUAUAUAUAUAUAUCUCUCUUUCUCUAGUUGUGCUCCAUGCAUAUAUGAAUAACUUUUAAAAGUUAUAUUUAACUAAAUUCAAGAGUCAGAGAAUACACCAUGUUUUUAGAUCACAACAACAAGAUAACUAUAUAUUAACGAUGAUUAAGCUUGAAAUUAAACAUGGUUCGAUUCUGCUAAGAAAUAGCUUAAAUAGAAGAUUAAGAGAAUUAAUUAAACAAGUUUCUUAGUUCUUGAAUUGAGGAGAUGAUAAUUAUAUUAUAUAUAUAUAUAUAUAUAUAAGUUGUAGGUAAAUUAGAGACCAUAGAAGGAAGAUAGAGUCCUUAGAAGACUGACUUUAGCUUGUAGUAGAAAUAUAUAACGAGCAGUGUUUUGAAACAAAGCUUCCAUAUCCACCGUACGGCUGCCAGGAACCAGCCUCUGCAACUCCUUAACCUUCUUCUUCUCCAUCUUUCUUCUCUUUACCCUUCGCAUAUUCACCCACCCAUUUCUCCAUUUGGGGCCAUGCCUUGUUGACCGCAUUUUUUUUCUCUUAAUUCUUAUACUAAAUCAGAUAUAUUUGUAAGGAGUAGAGACUGCCAUGGAGUUCAAUUAAUAUAUAUACACAACGUAUAUAUCCACAUCUCUCCCGUGCGGAUAUAUAAACAUUAUUUGGCUGCACACGUGUGAGAUAUAUAUAU
rnacentral:lncRNA from 1 species